CUACCUCAGCCUGACCCAUCCGUCUGACAUGGUCUAGAGCUGCCACUGGAUCAUGGUGUUGGUUUUAGUUUUGGACUGUAUAUUUCCCAAUCACUCUUUCUUUGUGUGACUAAAUUAAUCCCAUGCUUUAGACAUGGGCCUGUCAAAUAAGUUUUAUCACUUUUAUUUUAUAUUAAAGUUGUACGGCCUCAUUUUCUUAUUCUUAAAAAAACGGUGUAUUUAUUUGUUAUAGUGUCUUUUACACGUUUUUAUUGUAAUUAUAUCCUGUAUGUAUGUUUUCUGUUGCGCAACUUGCUUUGUUUUCAGGUAUGUUAUUGUGCAAUCUAAAACGUUUAGACGAGUCCCUGCCUAAAGCUUUUAUUGUGAAGGAUAAAGCGGAAGUGGUGAAUUUUGA